rnacentral:rRNA from 1 species
GAUGAACGCUGGCGGCGUGCCUAAUACAUGCCAGUCGAGCGAACGGACGAGAAGCUUGCUUCUCUGAUGUUAGCGGCGGACGGGUGAGUAACACGUGGAUAACCUACCUAUAAGACUGGGAUAACUUCGGGAAACCGGAGCUAAUACCGGAUAAUAUUUUGAACCGCAUGGUUCAAAAGUGAAAGACGGUCUUGCUGUCACUUAUAGAUGGAUCCGCGCUGCAUUAUCUAGUUGGUAAGGUAACGGCUUACCAAGGCAACGAUGCAUAGCCGACCUGAGAGGGUGAUCGGCCACAAGGGAACUGAGACACGGUCCAGACUCCUACGGGAGGCAGCAGUAGGGAAUCUUCCGGAAUGGGCGAAAGCCUGACGGAGCAACGCCGCGUGAGUGAUGAAGGUCUUCGGAUCGUAAAACUCUGUUAUUAGGGAAGAACAUAUGUGUAAGUAACUGUGCACAUCUUGACGGUACCUAAUCAGAAAGCCACGGCUAACUACGUG